AACGAACGCUGGCGGCAUGCCUAACACAUGCAAGUCGAACGAGACCUUCGGGUCUAGUGGCGCACGGGUGCGUAACGCGUGGGAACCUGCCCUUAGGUUCGGAAUAACUCCCCGAAAGGGGUGCUAAUACCGGAUAAUGUCUUCGGAUCAAAGAUUUAUCGCCUUUGGAUGGGCACGCGUUGGAUUAGCUAGUUGGUAGGGUAAAAGCCUACCAAGGCGACGAUACAUAGCUGGUCUGAGAGGAUGAUCAGCCACACUGGGACUGAGACACGGCCCAGACUCCUACGCGAGGCAGCAGUGGGGAAUAUUGGAAAAUGGGCGAAAUCCUGAUGCAGCAAUGCCGCGUGAGUGAUUAAGGCCUGAGGGUUGUAAAGCUCUUUUACCCGGGAUGAUAAUGACAGUACCGGGAGAAUAAGCACCGGCUAACUCCGUG
rnacentral:rRNA from 1 species